AAAAUGUUGUUUAUGUUUUGGCUAGCUGAUUUUUGCGAGGGAGCAAAAUCCGAGUGGUGCAAAAAGUAUGGCUUUUGCAGAUCUUAACUGCAUUUUGCCGAUUGCUGGAACCUCACAACACCCGGAAAAGCCCAACCAGGAGUAAUUUGAAAAACCCUGUGCUACCUGCAAGGACUAAAAACGGGCUGAUAAAGUUGCAGCCGAUCCGUCUACAACACCCAUACGGUGGACAGAUAGCUAUGGAGCCAGCGGAAUUCCUGCAAAAGUAUAAACGGAAAUGCAACAAACGACAACUUCGAUUAGAGUCGGAUUACGAUAAGCAACAUCACCAGAAGCAGUAACAUAAGGAUAAAUAAAUUCCUUUCAGCAGAAUGGACCCACCGAAUACCCAACGAGAUGCCAUAAGGAAAAAUUGAUCAAACUGGCGAAAUCUAUCGCGGACAAUUCAGUUGCCAUGAGUUGGUUCAACAUGCCACGGGUAACCGGAUCGGCAAUCAGCUGCAACUAACGCCAGUGCGAUGAGCAAACAGGUACUCAAAUGAAGAGACUGUCGGUGUGUAAAUACUAAGGCCAUCCCUUUGCCGAUGCAAACAUAAAUAAACUAAGCUACGAAACUAAAAA